ensembl:antisense Sox5os4 SRY (sex determining region Y)-box 5, opposite strand 4
GACGUGGAUGACACUGUCAGGGAACAGCAAGCUUUUAGGUCACAAAAGUAAAAAUGUACCUGAGGAAGAAAAAGAGUAAGGAGGAGAAAUACACGAGAUAGGAAACCAAGGGGUCACUGCUGGGGAGGCGCCGUGACCCACGAGAGAAAGGUUGUGUGCAUCCCACAUGUAACACUCAGUGGUACAGAGAGCUUUGAAGAUGCAUGUGACCAGCCACAAACCCCCAAAGCCCUUGCUGCCCUCUGUCCUCCCUGGAAGGUGAUCCACCACUUGGGACAACCCAUGCAGGCCUCCUCUAGCUGCGGUUCUCACCACUGAGCUGUCGGUAACCCCCAAGUCCAUUUAGAGCAUUGAUUGUGACUGAUUCCAUGCCUUAAUUAAACA